UUUUGAUUUCAACUAGUGUGGUUUCUGCUGCUGCAGAUAGUUAUAUUUACUCUUCUCCUCCACCACCUUACGAGUAUAAGUCGCCACCGCCACCAUCACCUUCACCACCACCUCCUUAUGUUUACAAAUCGCCACCUCCUCCAUCCCCAUCACCUCCACCACCUUAUGAGCACAAGGCUCCUGCUUAUGAGUACAAGUCACCACCACCACCAACUCCUUCACCACCACCUCCUUAUGUGUACAAGUCACCACCACCGCCAUCUCCUUCACCACCACCUCCUUAUGUGUACAAGUCACCACCACCACCCUCACCUUCCCCACCACCACCAUACUACUACAAGAGUCCUCCACCACCUUCUCCUUCACCUCCACCUCCUUACUACUACAAAUCUCCUCCACCACCCUCACCUUCCCCACCACCACCAUACUAUUACAAGUCUCCUCCACCACCAUCUCCCUCACCUCCACCACCAUAUUACUACAAGUCUCCCCCACCACCCUCACCCUCCCCUCCACCCCCAUAUAUACACAAGGAUCCACCAUACUAUUACAAGUCCCCACCACCACCUUCACCAUCUCCUCCACCACCAUACUACUACAAAUCUCCCCCACCCCCUUCACCGUCUCCUCCACCACCAUACUACUACAAAUCUCCUCCUCCUCCAUCUCCUAUUCCCAAAACACCUUACUACUACAAAUCUCCCCCACCCCCUUCACCAUCUCCUCCACCACCAUACUACUACAAAUCUCCCCCACCCCCUUCACCGUCUCCUCCACCACCAUACUACUAUAAAUCUCCCCCACCACCGUCACCCUCUCCACCACCACCUUACUAUUACAAGUCUCCUCCCCCACCUUCACCAUCUCCUCCACCACCAUACUACUACAAAUCUCCUCCUCCUCCAUCUCCUAUUCCCCAUACACCUUACUAUUACAAAUCUCCCCCACCACCUUCACCAUCUCCUCCACCACCAUACUACUACAAAUCUCCUCCUCCUCCAUCUCCUAUUCCCCGUACACCUUACUAUUACAAAUCUCCCCCACCACCUUCACCAUCUCCUCCACCACCAUACUACUACAAAUCCCCUCCUCAUCCAUCUCCCAUUCCCCAUACACCUUACUAUUACACAUCUCCCCCACCACCUUCACCGUCUCCUCCACCACCAUAUUACUACAAAUCUCCUCCCCCUCCGUCUCCUAUUCCCCACACACCUUACUACUACAAGUCCCCACCACCACCAAAGGUCCUUCCACCACCAUACUAUUACAAUUCUCCUCCUCCACCUGUUGUGUAUCCUCACCCAUAUCCCUACCACCACUCACUUAUUGUGAGGGUAGUCGGUAAAGUCUACAGCUUCAGAUGUUAUGAUUGGAAUUAUCCUGCAAAGUCUCAUAACAAGAAACAUCUCAAAGGUACAUUACAUUUCUUAGGACCGGACCUCUUUAGAGUAAUGUGUUUAGAGAUAAUGCACAAUUUUUUAUUUUUUUAUCUCGUAAAGGUUUAUUUAUUAUAAUCACAAUUUCACUUUUGUCAAAAAGAAAAACAAUUUUACUAUAUAUAGUUUUAAUCAUUAACAUUUUGAUGUAAAAAGAAUACAAUUCUCUAUUACCUUUUUACUAUGAUAUAUAUACAAAGAUUAUUCAAAUCUAUAUAUCCAACCUAAUUUCCAUCCAAAAAAAUAGAAAACAUAGGGUGCUUUGAACGCCUGCAGCAUCACAUGAAUAAAUAAAAACAAUCAAUAAUCAACCUUGUUCUAAUUUAUUUUAGACAGCGAUUGUUAAGCAUACUGCUCUUUUAAUUACAUUUUUUUUAAAGAUGCUCUUUUAAUUAUAUUGUCCUAAUAUAAUAUGUGUCUUUAUAUAUUACUUGUCGUAAACUAAUUUUAUUAUGGGUGCAGGAGCUGUUGUUGAGGUGACAUGCAAAGCCGGGAGCAAAAUUGUCAAGGCUUAUGGAAAAACUAAGAACAAUGGAAAGUAUGCCAUCACAGUUAAGGACUUUGACUAUGUCAAAUAUGGUUCGACAGUGUGCAAGGCUGCCCUAUAUGCUCCACCUAAGGGUUCACCCUUCAACAUACCUACAAAGCUAAAUCAAGGAACAAAGUUGUACUUGAAAUCCAAAGACAAGUACGAGGUUGUGCUCAAGGCUAAGCCAUUUGCUUAUGCUUCAAAGAAACAUUUCAAAGAAUGUGAGAAGCCUAAGCCUUCACCAACUCCUUACUACUACAAAUCACCUCCACCUCCCUCACCAGUUUACAAAUACAACUCACCACCUCCACCGGUCCAUUAUUAUUCACCUCCAUACACCUACAAGUCACCUCCUCCCCCUGUGAAAGCGGCACCAACUCCUUACUACUACAAAUCACCUCCACCACCCGCACCGGUUUACAAGUACAACUCACCCCCUCCACCGGUCCAUUAUUAUUCACCACCAUAUACCUAUAAGUCACCUCCUCCCCCUGUGAAAGCGGCACCAACUCCUUACUACUACAAAUCACCUCCACCUCCCGCACCGGUUUACAAGUACAACUCCCCACCUCCACCGGUCCAUUAUUAUUCACCUCCAUAUACCUACAAGUCACCUCCUCCCCCUGUGAAAGUGGCACCAACUCCUUACUACUACAAAUCACCUCCACCACCCGCACCGGUUUACAAGUACAACUCACCACCUCCACCGGUCCAUUAUUAUUCUCCACCAUACUACUACAAGUCACCACCCCCACCAUCUCCAUCACCUCCUCCACCAUACUAUUUCAAAUACUAUUACAAGUCCCCACCUCCACCAUCACCAUCCCCUCCUCCACCUUAUUAUUACAAAUCUCCUCCUCCACCAAAACAAAUUUCACACCCUCCAUACUACUAUAAGUCACCACCCCCACCAUCACCAUCACCUCCUCCACCAUACUAUUAUAAGUCUCCACCUCCACCAUCACCAUCUCCCCCACCACCUUAUUAUUAUAAGUCACCACCCCCACCAUCCCCGUCCCCUCCUCCACCAUACUACUACAAGUCUCCACCUCCACCUAAAGAAAUAUCACAUCCUCCAUAUAACUAUAAGUCACCACCCCCACCAUCACCAUCCCCUCCCCCUCCAUACUAUUACAAAUCUCCUCCACCACCAUCACCAUCACCACCACCUCCCUACUAUUACAAAUCACCUCCACCACCAUCACCAUCACCUCCCCCUCCAUACUAUUACAAAUCUCCUCCACCACCAUCACCAUCACCACCACCUCCUUACUAUUACAAAUCACCUCCACCACCAUCCCCAUCACCACCACCUCCAUACUACUACAAAAGUCCCCCUCCACCAUCUCCAUCUCCUCCAUCCCCAUAUUACUACAAAUCUCCACCACCACCAUCACCAUCCCCACCCCCUCCCUACUAUUACAAAUCACCUCCACCUCCCUCACCAUCACCGCCACCUCCUUACUAUUACAAAUCACCUCCACCUCCCUCACCAUCACCGCCACCUCCUUACUAUUACAAAUCUCCCCCACCUCCAUCUCCAUCUCCACCACCUCCUUACCACUAUCAAAGUCCUCCUCCACCAUCUCCCAUUUCUCAUCCUCCCUACUACUACAAAUCCCCUCCACCACCAUCGCCGUCUCCUCCACCUCCUUACCACUAUGUGAGUCCUCCCCCACCAGUAAAGUCACCUCCACCACCAACUUAUAUCUAUGCUUCACCACCACCACCUCACUACAACUAAGCUCAAAGAGCAGAAGCUCCGUUCAUUAUAAAUCAUGUAAGUUUAUCAUCUUCAAUUUUCUGAAUGUGUGCGUGUGUAUUUGUUUUUUUGUUACAAGAUACUAACAAAAUUCUUUUCUUAUUUAUGUUCAGGUUUUAGUUUUCAUCUAGGAAUAAAGGCAAGCUCCAUUUGGAGUAAAGUGAAACUUCUAGCUUCGUGUCCGAAUUCGUUAAAUAAAUGUCGGGAUGUAUCGUCUUUGAGCUAUAAUAUUUCUGAUCCAGACAAUAUCUAUUUUGUUUCUUUGGUGGCAAUCUUGCACUUCCUGGUCUUAGUCUAUUCAAGUGACAGACAAAUCAAAAGGGAGAAGCGAGAUUAAUUUAUUUGUGAUCUCUUUGAUUUAUUUGUGCAUAUAUCAAUAUGAACGUGUAUGAUAUUUUUCUAUUUAUUGAAGAUUUUUUUACUGUAACCUGUUAUUGUGUUUGUCAAAAGGUGUUAAUAAAGAAUCACAUUCAAUUUCUGUUAAAUUAUCAGUAUUUGUUUCUUUCUAACAACUACCAUUCAUGCAAAUGUGGCUAUUAAAAAAAGCUCCAAUGACACAUAAAAAGCUUCCAAACAAUAUAUAAACAAAGAUGCAUUGUUUUCUGUUAAGAAGGGGACAGGGUUACGGUUACUUGUGUACCAAGUUAGUUAUCCAUGCUUUCUUGUUCAUAGGAUUUAUAUGGUGUAGUUGCACUUAGUUGCUAAAUGUAUGCAAGCUUUUCCUUUCUAUAAAUAAGCACACCUACUAUCAUUCUUCUCCACAUUCCUUUCUACUCUUCUAUCAUGAAUUGUUCAUCCACAUAAGAUGGUCACAGAGCACACCUAAUACUCUGCUACUGGUGUAUCAGUUCCUUUCCACCAGAAACUUAUGAUCUCUAAUUGAAAGAGAUCCUAAAGUUUUAAGAUUUCUACAAAAUACAUUAUUCUCAUUUUUGUACAAGUAUGAUACAAUUAUUCCCAAGUAUUAUUUAUUCUAAGGAAUAGAAUUUAGUUGUGGUUUCUCUAUUUAACCAACAUUUAUUUUUAAAUAACUAAAUUUAAAAAAAAAAUCCUGAAAUUAUUAAGUACAUACCUAACACAUUGUAAAAUUUUGUUCCCAAAGAAAAUAUUUUUGGCAAUAGAAUUUUCAGGAACUUCAUUCCUAGGAAUAUAAUUCUAUACUAAGAGAAGAGCUUAAGCAUUGAUACAUAACAAGACCAAUCCAUAUCCUAAUCACAAUCCUACUUUCACUAAAUACUUUCACUUAAGUGUGGUCUUGGAAAGGACAAAUGAAGAAAGACAUUCCAGAGGUAUGGUAAGGGACAAUAUCUGCAGUUAUGCACAUAUUGCAAGAUUGUGAGGAACUACCGGACUGAUUUGAUUCACCAAAAAAUUUGGAAUAAAUAUUUCAGCCCAGAACUCAGACAAUGACUGGAUUGGAACCUUUCAGCUUCUAAUAUCGGUACUGUCCAAGGAAAUAGUCAUUCUCUUUUUGGAGUAGCUGUGAAGGAUUUAUGGAAAGAUAGAACUAAGCUGGUCUUUUCUAGAAACACCGCGAUUGGAACUACUCUAUUUUGGCUUGUAGCCAAUCCGGCUAAGUUUAUUAACAAUGUAGUUUGUACUCAAGCUCACAGUCACGAUGUUGUCAGCAACAGUGGGCAUAUUGUUUAGGUAGCCUGGAAUUUUCCUCCCCAACACUUCUUCAAAGUGAAUAUGAUGGAUCUCUACGGGAUUAUGUUAGUUUCCAGGAUCGAACUCAGAACCUCCUGAUUAUAACUCCUUCAAUGUAUGUCCCUUACCCACGUGGGGCCUCGGCUGUAAUUGUUAACAUGGUAAAAUUUGGCUCUUCCAAUAAUGGUUUUAUCCAAACUCGAGGUUGUUUAUCGUCUCCAACAAUCAGAUUGGAGAAUACUAGUGGUUCAUGCAUUUGAACAAACCAACUGUUGUGCAGAUUUUCUAGUUGAUUUUGUUUUUCCUUUUUUGAGUAUUUUAUUAGCCAAUGAUAUAAGAGGUUGUAGCCUACCUCUUUUGAUUUCUUAAGACAAUCACUUUUGCAUUAGAAAAAAACGACCCUACAUAAAAUUAAUGAUUGAAUUAAGAUAUAACUUCAGUUUGAAAUAUUGUAAAAUUCUAUACCACCAAAAACUGAGAAUUUUAGAACCAUACAGGUUGGUGGAGUGGUCAUCCAGAUAACUUUAACAUAAUUAACAGUCCAAAAAGUAAAUAGCUUUAUCCUUUAUUUUCAAUCUGAUGUGAUUUACUCUUAUCUGUUAAACAUUAUAAUUAAGAAUCCAAAGGGAACACUCACCUAAUCUCUCUCUUUUUUCUAGCUUUUUCACUAAACCACUGUGUCUGUGGUUACCACAUUUCCUUAUGGAAUCAAUAUCCAAUUUAUGUUAAAAACCAUUUCUACAUUUUGUGUUAAAAAUGAUCUAAACAAAGAUGAUUUAUUUCUCUUAAAUUCAACAUAGAUCAUAUUUACAUGGUUCAAACUUUCUAUUACACGGCAUUGACUUAGUUGCUUCACAUGGGGACACAACUAAUGCAUAUAUUAUUUUAUAUGCUUAUAGUAAUUUUAACAAGUGGCAAUGGGGCAUAUGUUUUGUCAAAAAAACACAAAAAACAGGAGGCAUGUGCAACUGAAGUCACUGCCAGCUUGGCACUAAGAUAUAGUAAAAUAAUUGACAUUUGAAGAAAACAAAGACGUUGCUACAUUUCUAUUCAAACAAGCGACAUCAAUAUCAGACAAUGGUGCUACAUUUAAUAAUACUACAGCUAUCCCCAUAAGCACCUCUUAGAAAGAAAAAAAAAUAUCCAUUAAAUUAAUGUUGGAAGAGUUAGCAACAUGUCCUCUCCCAAAAAAACUCAUGUUUGAUUCCUAGAGUCGUCCAUUUCGAAAGAAGCUCAACCCUGAUAAUAAAAACCUAGAUGUUAUGCUGCAGACUUAAAGAUCAAUUUCAUAAUGGAUCCAAAGGGCCUAAGCUGUGUGGGAUACUUAAGGGGGUAUAUUGAGGCUAAGGGUCAAAGAUCUUAAUUAUGGUCGGUUAAAAAAAGAAGAAAAAAAAAUUAUCUCUAAAUAUAAAGUCAACAAUAUUUCAAAUUGCAAGAUACAUUUAUUUAUUUUUUAAAUAUGUAUAUACCUCUUAUUAAUACUUACUAAUUUGUUUUGAGUGAUAAAAAGUUACGAGUUAGACAGAUCAGCACAUAAAAAAAGUAUUUGAAAAACAUCUACCAACAAAAUAAACACAUUAAAAACAAUACUACUUUUUUACAAUACUGUAUGUGAAAAUGACAAAAUCUUGAAAAAGAUGGAGGUAACAUGUACUCUUUUUUUUUUAGAGGGGAGCAUGUACUUUUCCACUAACAAUGUUGAUAAGAAACAUAUAAAAUACUAUUAGAGAAAGAAAAAAAAUAAUAAAUAAAGAAAUAUAUAAAAUACUGAGGAAUGACUCACUCAUGUCAAAUUUUAGCAAGGGAGAAGUGAUAUCACAUCAUUUUAGAAGAGGAAUGAGAAUAGAUAGAUCUAAUUUUUCUAGUAAGUUUGAAUAGUAGAAUCAUACUUCUUUGUCUUUUGUGAAAAUUUCAUAUUAUGGGAUCUAUUACUAGAAUACAGGUGAUUUUAUUCUGGAAGAUUGACUUUUUAUUAAAAUAAAAUAAAAGUACAUUUUUUAUUUCCAAAUGCUUAGUUGUUCAUUUAUAAAUAUUACAUUAUCCAACAGCACCAAACCCUAUUUCAUAACGGUACUCUGCACGUUUCAUUCAUUUACUGGUGCCUUAGUUUUUUGUUACAAACAGACAUUGAUCAGAGGAACAAAUGUAGAGACAAAUUGAAGAUAAUAUAUCACAUAAUAUUGUAGACACACCUUCACAUACAAAUGGGGUAAAGUCCCUCAUAGUAGUAUUAGAAAUAACACUUAGAGUAAAAUUUUGCUAAAUUUAACAUGAAAAUAAGUGUAAUGUAUUUUAUAGGCAGCUAUACAUAAUUAUUAAUUAGAACAAUUUUUUACACUGUCAAACAAAAAUUGAACAAUUUUUUACUAGCUUUAUGCUUUAUGAUGUUUUGAUUCCAUGUGCACAUUUCAAUUUUAGAACUAUUCCUUUCUAUGUUACUGAAAUAAUUCUAUCAUUAGGCAUUGACAUUUCCAUUAUGCGUGCACGUUAAAGUGUUUUCCCAAACAGAGAAAUAUUAAGAAAGGUUAAACUUUUGACUUAAAGACACAACUAAAAUAAGAUCCAAGGAAAACCCCAUUGAUUAUUUCUUGCACAAAAUUAAAAACCCCAUUGAUUAUUUCUUGCACAAAAUUAAAAUGCUAAUAAUUUUUCCUGGUCUAUAUUUUUCUCCUUCCGGGAAAUGGCAACAUCACAUGUUCAUCUCAUAAUUGAGAAAACACAUGUCUGGGAAAAUAUCUUAAAGAAAAGGCAGUAAAGUAAUAAAAAGUGCACCAAAUAGAGAUUAACUAGUACUCUUUGCAUGUCAACUAAGUGGUAUAAUUAUGUAUAUCACAUUCUUAAUAUUGAUUAUCUUGAUUGCACGAUAAGCCCCUCAAAUUGCUCAAUCGAUGAUUGCUUGAUAAGCCCAUCAAAUUGCCCAAUCGAUCGAAUCGUAACUUUCGAUAGACAUUUUUUUUAAGAAAACCCAAUUGGAUCAUAACUCCCCAUAGUCAUUUAUUUGAAAUUGUGAGCAAUUUGAUAACUUAUUGAGCAAUCACCAUUGAUUUUAGUCUCAAUUUAUCCUAAUGUUGUAACCCUGGAAUAAUGGAACAGUGAGUAAAUUUGGUUUCUCCGUCUCAAAAUAAGUGUCACAAUUUAACCAUGUGCACUACUCAUCAAAUCUACUUUGACAACAUUUUUUUUACUAAUAUAUAAAGACAAUGUUAGUACAUUACAUGUUCGAUUUGUCUUAGUUAAUGUUUUUAAAAUAUCGACUUUAUUAUAAUUUUUCUUAAUAGACAAUCAAAAAUAUCAAUUGUCAAAAUUGUGUAUUGAUAUGUAUGAAAAUCAAACUAUAACACUUACUUUGAGACGAAGAGAAUAACUAUUAAAAACUAAUGUUCAAAUAGAAAGAAAAGAAAACAAAGAUUCCAUACAAAGCUUGCAAAAUAGCUACAAUCAUAACCUAGAACAAAAAUCAUGACCACACACUAUAUCCAUUUUCCUUUUCCUAAAAAGCAAUUGAAGAUAAAAAAAAAAAAAAUAAUAAAUAAAAAAAAAAAAAAAAAAAAAAAAAANACCACCAUACUACUACAAAUCCCCACCUCCACCAUCGCCUUCUCCUCCACCACCAUACUACUACAAAUCCCCACCUCCACCAUCGCCUUCUCCUCCACCACCAUACUACUACAAAUCCCCACCUCCACCAUCGCCUUCUCCUCCACCACCAUACUACUACAAAUCCCCACCUCCACCAUCGCCUUCUCCUCCACCACCAUACUACUACAAAUCCCCACCUCCACCAUCGCCUUCUCCUCCACCACCAUACUACUACAAAUCCCCACCUCCACCAUCGCCUUCUCCUCCACCACCAUACUACUACAAAUCCCCACCUCCACCAUCGCCUUCUCCUCCACCACCAUACUACUACAAAUCCCCACCUCCACCAUCGCCUUCUCCUCCACCACCAUACUACUACAAAUCCCCACCUCCACCAUCGCCUUCUCCUCCACCACCAUACUACUACAAAUCCCCACCUCCACCAUCGCCUUCUCCUCCACCACCAUACUACUACAAAUCCCCACCUCCACCAUCGCCUUCUCCUCCACCACCAUACUACUACAAAUCCCCACCUCCACCAUCGCCUUCUCCUCCACCACCAUACUACUACAAAUCCCCACCUCCACCAUCGCCUUCUCCUCCACCACCAUACUACUACAAAUCCCCACCUCCACCAUCGCCUUCUCCUCCACCACCAUACUACUACAAAUCCCCACCUCCACCAUCGCCUUCUCCUCCACCACCAUACUACUACAAAUCCCCACCUCCACCAUCGCCUUCUCCUCCACCACCAUACUACUACAAAUCCCCACCUCCACCAUCGCCUUCUCCUCCACCACCAUACUACUACAAAUCCCCACCUCCACCAUCGCCUUCUCCUCCACCACCAUACUACUACAAAUCCCCACCUCCACCAUCGCCUUCUCCUCCACCACCAUACUACUACAAAUCCCCACCUCCACCAUCGCCUUCUCCUCCACCACCAUACUACUACAAAUCCCCACCUCCACCAUCGCCUUCUCCUCCACCACCAUACUACUACAAAUCCCCACCUCCACCAUCGCCUUCUCCUCCACCACCAUACUACUACAAAUCCCCACCUCCACCAUCGCCUUCUCCUCCACCACCAUACUACUACAAAUCCCCACCUCCACCAUCGCCUUCUCCUCCACCACCAUACUACUACAAAUCCCCACCUCCACCAUCGCCUUCUCCUCCACCACCAUACUACUACAAAUCCCCACCUCCACCAUCGCCUUCUCCUCCACCACCAUACUACUACAAAUCCCCACCUCCACCAUCGCCUUCUCCUCCACCACCAUACUACUACAAAUCCCCACCUCCACCAUCGCCUUCUCCUCCACCACCAUACUACUACAAAUCCCCACCUCCACCAUCGCCUUCUCCUCCCCCACCUUACUAUUACAAAUCCCCACCGCCACCUUCACCAUCUCCCCCACCACCCUACUACUAUAAAUCACCCCCACCACCUUCACCAUCUCCUCCACCACCAUACUACUACAAAUCACCCCCACCGCCAUAUGAACACAAGACUAAACCAUACUAUUACAAGUCUCCUCCACCACCAUAUGAACACAAGACUAAACCAUACUAUUACAAGUCCCCACCACCACCUUCACCAUCUCCUCCACCACCAUACUAUUACAAGUCCCCACCACCACCUUCACCGUCUCCACCCCCACCAUACUACUACAAAUCACCUCCUCCUCCAUCACCUAUUCCCCAUACACCUUACUACUACAAGUCCCCACCACCACCUAAGGUUCUUCCACCACCAUACUAUUACAACUCUCCUCCUCCACCUGUUGUGUAUCAUCACCCUCAUCCCUACCACCAUGCAUUGAUCGUGAAGGUAGUGGGUAACGUCUACAGCUUCAGAUGUUAUGACUGGGAGUAUCCUGAAAAGUCUCAUAACAAGAAACACCUCAAAGGUACAUCACAUUACAUUUCUCAAUUCUUUCAUUUUUAUAGAUUUUAUGUACAUCACUAUUGGCUCGUAGUUUCUCAAUACCAUUACAACUAAACUGCAAGUUUCAGUAAUGAGAUUCAUAUAGACAUGUUUUUAUUAACAUCUUUGUUUCUUAGAAAUUAUACAAACACUUAAUUUAGGUUUCUCCAUGUCCAAUAAAGUAAACAAUUGAUAUAUCAAAUUAACAUAUAUGAUAUAUCAUUUACCUCAUUAAAAUUUAAUAAUCCUGCCUAAUAUAAAGAUUCGGUUUGAAAAUGAUAGUUUAGUGAGCUUCUUUAUAAUAACACUCUCCAAUAUAUUAUGUUUUAAAAACAAUUAUAUUUCUAUUUGUCUAAAUUCAAAUUUGUUAUGGGACAGGUGCUGUUGUUGAAGUGACAUGCAAAGCCGGGAGCAAAAUCAUCAAGGCUUACGGUAAAACUAAGAUCAAUGGAAAGUAUGCCAUCACAGUUAAGGACUUUGACUAUGUCAAAUAUGGUUCAACAGUGUGCAAGGCUGCCCUUUAUGCUCCACCUAAGGGUUCACCCUUCAACAUACCUACAAAGCUAAACCAAGGAACAAACUUGUACUUGAAAUCCAAAGACAAGUACGAGGUUGUGCUCAAGGCUAAGCCAUUUGCUUAUGCUUCAAAGAAACAUUUCAAAGAAUGUGAGAAGUCCAAGCCUUCACCAACUCCUUACUACUACAAAUCACCUCCACCUCCCUCACCAGUUUACAAGUAUAACUCACCACCUCCACCCGUCCAUUAUUACUCACCUCCAUAUUACUACAAGUCACCUCCUCCCCCCGUGAAAGCGGCACCAACUCCUUACUACUACAAAUCACCUCCACCUCCCGCACCAGUUUACAAGUACAACUCCCCACCUCCGCCAGUCCAUUACUAUUCACCUCCAUACACCUAUAAGUCACCUCCUCCUCCUGUGAAAGCAGCACCAACUCCUUACUACUACAAAUCACCUCCACCUCCCGCACCGGUUUACAAGUACAACUCACCACCUCCACCGGUCCAUUAUUAUUCUCCACCAUACUACUACAAGUCACCACCCCCACCAUCUCCAUCACCUCCUCCACCAUACUAUUUCAAAUACUAUUACAAGUCCCCACCUCCACCAUCACCAUCCCCUCCUCCACCUUAUUAUUACAAAUCUCCUCCUCCACCAAAACAAAUUUCACACCCUCCAUACUACUAUAAGUCACCACCCCCACCAUCACCAUCACCUCCUCCACCAUACUAUUAUAAGUCUCCACCUCCACCAUCACCAUCUCCCCCACCACCUUAUUAUUAUAAGUCACCACCCCCACCAUCCCCGUCCCCUCCUCCACCAUACUACUACAAGUCUCCACCUCCACCUAAAGAAAUAUCACAUCCUCCAUAUAACUAUAAGUCACCACCCCCACCAUCACCAUCCCCUCCCCCUCCAUACUAUUACAAAUCUCCUCCACCACCAUCACCAUCACCACCACCUCCCUACUAUUACAAAUCACCUCCACCACCAUCACCAUCACCUCCCCCUCCAUACUAUUACAAAUCUCCUCCACCACCAUCACCAUCACCACCACCUCCUUACUAUUACAAAUCACCUCCACCACCAUCCCCAUCACCACCACCUCCAUACUACUACAAAAGUCCCCCUCCACCAUCUCCAUCUCCUCCAUCCCCAUAUUACUACAAAUCUCCACCACCACCAUCACCAUCCCCACCCCCUCCCUACUAUUACAAAUCACCUCCACCUCCCUCACCAUCACCGCCACCUCCUUACUAUUACAAAUCUCCCCCACCUCCAUCUCCAUCUCCACCACCUCCUUAUCACUAUCAAAGUCCUCCUCCCCCAUCUCCCAUUUCUCAUCCUCCCAACUACUACAAAUCCCCUCCACCACCAUCGCCAUCUCCUCCACCUCCAUACCAUUACGUGAGUCCUCCCCCACCAGUAAAGUCACCUCCACCACCAGCUUACAUCUAUGCUUCUCCACCACCACCAAUCUACAACUAGCCUCACAACACCAAAUCACCAUUGGUGAUAAAUUAUGUAAGUUUACCAUUAUUGCAAUCAUAACACUUGCAUCUUUUCCCACCCAUACACACACAUAUCACAUGUUUAAAUUUUAUGUACUAAUCAACAAAAACUCUUAUUUGUUUUCAGGUUCUAGUUUUCAUCAAGGAAUAAAGUCGUCCAUUUGGAGCAAAGUGAAACAACUAGCUCUCUGUCCAAAUUAUUUGAUGGCCAUCUUGCACUUCCUAAUCUUAUUGUGUUCAAGUGACUGGCUAAUCAAAAUGUGGAAGCGAGAUUAAUUUAUUUAUUAUCUCUUUGAUUUAUAUGUGCAUAGAUUGAUAUUUCCCUGUAUGAUAACUUUAUUUUUAUUGAGGAUUUUUUGUAUUGUACCCUGUUGUGUUUGUUAAAAUAAGUAUUAUCAAUGAAGAAUUACCUUCAAUUUCUUUCCACCUAAUUAGUUCUUGUUUCUUUUAAACAACUAUCAAGCAUGUCAGCAAGGCAAAGCAUACCACUACCACCAUAUCACCAUAAAAUGCAUCAUUAUUCAUUGCAUAUGAGAUAAAUAUAUGCAAACUAUAUCUAAUUAUUAAGAGGGGGAAAAAACUAAUGUACAGAAAAUGUACCUCAAGGCUUCAGGAUAGGUGUUAGAAACCCAAGCUUUUAAUAGCUCUCUCCAAGAAUCCUCGUUUCUACAACUUAAGUUCCUAUAUUAAUCAAUUAUAAUAUAUGAGAAACUUAUGUUGUCGACCAACAAUACAGGUGACUCAAAAAAAUAUUAUAUUUUAAAAGUCAAACCUUGAGCUAUACACAUGUAAGCAUCAUCAAUAUAAGUUUCACCAUUGUUCAUGUGUAUUAUUCCAUAAAUUUUGGCUCAGUUGAGGUUACUACACUGGUUUUCUUCCUAUUGUAUCAUAUAUUUAAAUACUAUGGUGCGUUUGGAUAAACAGCUUAUGUCACAAGCACUUAUCAUGAUAAGCGCUUUUGUAUAAACUUGCAUGAGUUAUUUUCAUAUCAAAAGAUAAACAAGAACAUUAAAUUGUUUUUGUAUAUUACUUAAGUUGUUUUCAUAAGCUAUGUUGAAGAACUAAUGAAAAUUAGCUGAAAAAAGCUUAUGCUGUUUUCAUGAAUUCUCCCUAACAGUCUCACAAUAUUUAUGUCAGUAUAUAAUCAAAUAAGUCAAUCCAAACAGGCCCCACGUCUUCUAUAUUAGACCAUAUGACAAUUUCUUUUCGGUUUAUUCUCAUUAAAAGUUAAAAAUGGUGUAUUUGAAUCCUAUAAUUCUUUGUCAUACAAGUGCAUUCAAAUACAAUUUGAAGCCAUGGUGAAAGUGUUUAAUUUGCAGAGCUCACCAACAUAAUCUAACGUAUAUUUGGAUUGACUUAUUUGAACUUAUCUACUAGCACAAAUACUUGUGAGAUUGUUUACGAAAGUUUAUGGAAAAAACUUACAACACACACAUAAGUUGUUUUCAGCUUAUUUCCAUAAACUCUUCAAAAUAGCUUAUGAAACAACUUAUAUGAUAAGAGCUUAUUCUAUAAGCGCUUAAUUAAGUUUUAAUCCAUUCUUCUUCUACCUUCAUCUUCAGUUAACAAAACGAAUACAAUUUCUGAAAAUUCAAAGUUCAAACACCAAAAAAUACCUAAAAUGAAAAAUUGUUGAAUGAAAGCGCAAAUAGAACCUGGCAAUGCGUUCGAGAAGCACGUGGAGGAGGUGGCGUGGCAGAAGAAUGUGUGGAUUUCAUCGGAGAAUUUCAGUUCUGCUCGCGCCAUUUAAGAAAUUUUGUAAACUUAAAGUUUAGUUUAAGUUUACCCCUCUUUUUUUUUCAUUUUAAAGGAGUUUACCCUACAAAUUUUUGUAUGUUUUUGCCACGUUUACAAAUGAUUUAAUAUGUUUUUAUCCUAUAUAUAUUUAGGGAUGUAAAUGGAUAUUAUGAUGCGGAUAGUGUAAUAUUUGUGUCUGUUCCAUUGGAUAAAUAUGAAAUCUGUACCAUAUUCAUAUCGUACGGAUAUCUGUUUAGCGGGUAAUCCACAGAUUUUGAGAUAUUUGAGUGUUUAUAGAUAUAUUCAUUGAUAACAUUUAUAAAAAUAAAAUAAAAAAUUUGUUUAAUUCUUUUUAGAGACAAAGGUUCUUCAUAUGCAUUUUCUUUUCUUUUUAACAAAACAUAAUAUUCAUACAUUAUAAUAACAACAAAGAUCAUUGACUCAACAAAAACAUAAAUAAAGUUGCUUACAUUUAAUAAAAAUAAAGUUAUUUGAUUUAACAAAAACAAAGCUCUUGCAUCAACAAUCCCAACCACUUUCACUUCCUUUUAAAAGAGUGUAAUAACAAAUAACACUCACAAUACAUAAGGUUUUUUUUUAGGAAGUUGAAUGAUAUUAAGGUUAUUUAUGUAAUUUACUCGGUUUAAUAGUCGGUAUGGAUAUCCACGGGUGUGGAUACCGUUAAAUCCGCAUCCAUAUCCAUUAAUUAGCAGGUAGUUAAAAAAUUCAUUUAUUUUAUCCAUUGAUAUCCAUUAAGGUAUCCGCUCCGUGCCCGUGACGGAUUAUAUCCGCGGAUAUUCACGGGUGCGAAUUUUUUUGUCAUCCCUAUAUAUAUAUAUUAGUCUUAAACUUGACUAUUUUUUAUUAUCAUUUGGUGCUAUAAUUAAAAAAAAAAAAAAAAUAUUGUUCGUCUGAGCCAUUUAGCUACAGGCUAUUACUUUUCUCAUUCUACAUGUUUCUCGCUUGUCCUAUUUUUUUUUUAAUACUUUUUGCUCGAAUUCUAAAAUCUAAACUCCUAUAGGGAUUUUUGGAUUCUAUAAUCCAAAACACGUUGAAACCCAAAAAUAAAAUAAAAAACUAUGUAAUUGAAAUCAAAGAUCUCUACUGCUAAUGCACGUUUUCCACAAAAACUACAAAGUAAUUUCAAAGUAAUUUCACAAAAACUAUCGUAUGAAUAGACAGCAAUGAGCAUGAUAUCAUAAAUAACUCAAAACUUUAUAAAAAUAAAAAUAAAAAAAUGAAUAAGAAGAUGUGAAGAAUGAAUGUAAACGUUGGAGGAUACAAAGCUAUUUAUAGACAUAAAAUGUUCCUAGACUCUAAAGUGGGUCAAAGAAAACAUGAAUAACAUUUACAACUUAAUUAACACAUCACAGAUCAUUCAAACCUUUGGUGUAACAUCAUCGUAUGUAGUCUGGCACAGUUUGGAUUAUACAAUCUGAACAUUUCAUAAGCAGUUUGGAUUAUAUAAUUUGAACUAUCCCAGACUGUGUUUCAGCUUGAUGUUUGGAGGGUUUUGUAUGGUGGAUAACACAAAAAAAUGACAUAAUUCAACAACGUAAAAAAUAUAAUAAGAUAAGUGAUGAUGAAAGGGAAGCCGCACCAAGAGGUGUUUUUGAAUUCGAUCCAGUUGUCCUAUCAACUGACAUAUAUUUCUAUUGGCAUGGCAGCAAGAUCAAGUUUCAAAACGACCUUUUUGUGUUCAUAUCCGCAAAAUAAUGAUGAAAGGCAAGGUAUUCCAAGAAGUGUUUUUUAACUUGAUCUCGCUACCUUGUCAACUAACAUAUUUCUAUAGACAGUGCAGCAAGAUCAAAUUUAUAACAACCUCUAGGUGUUCAUAUCCGCUAAGUAAUUUUUCGUAGUUCUUUAUUGUGAUCUACAAAAAAAAAAAAAAAAAAGAUCUAUUUAUAUAAGUUUAUGUGCGUCGCGAACCAGAUAAAUUUUCGAUGCAUUGUGGACCAAAAAAAAAUUCUAAUUCGGACUAAACAAGAUGAAUUUUCCUUCACCCUAGAAAGUAAAAGUUUUGACAAACACAAGACUGAUUAUACAUUAAAUACAACAAUCAGCCAAACUAAACAUAUUAGAUCACAAAUCUUUCAAACUAACUUCUUCAUUGGAUUCCUCCAAGAGAGCCUUGAUUUAUUUGUAUGUUCUAGGCCGAAUCAAUUUUUUUUAAUAUCUUUGAAAGGGCCCGACCAAGAAAACAUCCAACUCAAUUGGUCAUUUAAUACCGUACUGACCAAAUAUUAAAACAUUAUUCUCUUAUCGCAUUGUUCCUGAGUUUAAUCUAGGUAAACUAGAUGCUUUCAUCUUAGCCAAUCGAUGGACUUUGAUGCUCAACAUUGUCCAUCCUUCUUGUGUCUGUGUUGUUGAGUCGACGGUUGAUUUAGUCCAGCUAAUAUUGGACUUUCCCCCAUUGUAGUAAACUACAGUUAGUUUGGUGUCAGAUCAAUGAUUGAAGUGUUCAUGAUUAUUUGGUGUGGUUUAUAGCAAAUGAAAACAAGCACACCAAUUUAUAGAAGUUUAUGUGCGCCGCGGACUACAAUAACUAUUGGUGCAAUGAAGACCAUAGAAAAAGCAUGUACUUGGCUGAUUUGGAUUAUAUAAUUUACAUUGUCCCUCACCCUACAAAGUACAAAUUUCAACACAAUAUUGAACCAAUUCGGAUUAUAGAAUCCAAUCAUUUAUGAGAUAAUUUCGGAUUAUAUAAUUAAAACUAGUUCACAAUGUGAACCGCAGCUUGGUCAGCAAGACUAACUCAUUAAAAAUGUUUUUUAAGUUGGUGAACGACGCUUGACUGGUCAGCAAGACUUGAAAACAAUUUUCGUACCAUGCAUUAAUGGACCAUUACCCUCUAUGAAAUGUACUUCACAAAUUCUCCUUCCGAAUACCCACUAAUACAUCACAAAUUCUUAUUUCAUCUCACAUUCUCUCGUUCUUUUUACUUCUACAAUGUGCUUCCAUAGUUUGUGUUUCAUACAAAAAUGUUACUCUAAUAUUUUAUGGAUUGUAUGAAUGGUCAAAAGGCAAAAAUUGGCACCAUCUGUUUGGAUGUAAGGUUGAUCAUCAAAGUCUAAUCCACUAAGAGAGGAAACAAACCUUACCCCAACCUCAUUCCCCAUUCAUCUUCUUGCACCGCAUGUUUAAAUGAUACUCCCUCCGGUCCUAUUUAUAAGAGAAAGUUAGGUCAACAAAAGUUGAUGUAUCUGAACUGAAUUUUUAACCGGAUACAUCAACUUUUGUUGACCCAAAUUUCUCUUAUAAAUAGGACCGGAGGGAGUAUUUGUACAACCAUUUUGGUACAACUUUUGUACAACUUUCUCUCUCAUACUCACAUUAUGUUUUUAUUCUCUCUCUUACUUUUUUUCUCUCCAUUGUGGUUGACCAAUAAGAAGGGAGAAUAUCAAGGUUGUCACAAAAAUUGUAACAAAAGAGUUGUUCAAAUAUCAUUACUCUUAUCAUUAUGUGUUAAAUAAUUUUGUGUAAUAAGCUUCAAUGACAAUGUAAAUAUACAAUAAAAGAUAUAAAUUAUUCAUAAAAUGAAAAUUUUAUUCAUUUAUCUUUUUAUAUUUUUGUCUCUUUUAGUUUCAGUCAUUUUCAAUUAUGCAUUCUUAAUAUUAUGUCAAUGUUGAUCAAUAAUUAUUGGCAAAAGAAGUUUUCAUGUUAUAGAAUAUGAAAAUCCCUGGUACCAAAAAAAAAAAAAAUCUGAAAAUCCCUCUAUAGGAUUUCAGAUUUUAGAAUCCGACCAAAUGGUAUUUUGAAGAGAGAAAAAUAGUGUGUCUAAGUAACUCAUGUUGAGAAAAGUAAUAGCCUUAAUUAUGUCUCCGAUAAACAUUUUAUUCCCUUCCGUUAAUCAGUUAAUCCCAAAUGUCUAAGGUGAACCAAUAUUAUAGGUGGUCUACCAUAAACCUCAUAACAAUUUUAAGGUCAAAUACCACUUUUGGUCAUUUUAGUUUGACAGAAUUCUCAAGUUAGUCAUUUAAGUUUCGAAAGUUUCAAUUAGGUCCUUUUAGUUUGACAGAAUUCCCAAGUUAAUCCUUUAAGUCAUAAAAUUCAGGGGAGCAAAGUAGAUACUCCAGUUUUCAGAGGCGGAGACAUAGUCAUGUCAAAAGCAUCCCACAUCCUAUUACCACCUACUUGAACUCAUCAAGCUUGGUAUGGACCAUUCACAGUAACAUGUGUAUGUAGUCUCGUGGAGAUCUGGGACAAUAUCAAAUGGCAUGCUAAGGUGAAUCGACACAAACUGAAGCAUGUUAAAGAUUGCAUCCGGAAAAUGAAAGUUGAAGAAGAUGAACCUGCUUUGAAGAGGUUCAAGGGCACAACAUAGACUUAUUCUCCAUGUUCAAGAUGUAAAACACGCAUUGAACGAGAGACAACCCAUUAAUUUAUUUUCUCCGUUAUUUGUCUUGUGUCAUUUUUGCUCGAAUUUUUUGCCGUCAAUUCUUUAUGAAUUAUCAGUCAUAUUAUAUUACACACUAGACAAUUUUUUUGGUACCUUGAGCCUUUUCAAUCCGCCCUUAUCAUCAUUAUAUCCUUUGCUAAAUCCCUUUGAGCUUCCAUGCAUUAUUUCUUUUGUUUUUUUUAUUAAGUAACAAAUCAUGUCACAAGUUUGAACUUUUAAUGCCAUCUAUUUGAUUUCUUUUAUAGUUAGAUAGAAUAUUUUUAAGAACUUGGUAUGAUUUGAAUAUAUGUUAGGGUUAUAAGGGAGAAAUGUAAUGGCAAAGAGGAAGAGCAAGAAAAGAGAUGAAAGAUGAAGGGACAUUAGGCAGACUCAAUCACGGUAGUUAGAAUGAUUGCCUUCUGUUUUGCAGUAAUUUGCAUGAGCUUCACUUUUCAAGUAGAGUAAAAAAAACAGGAAUAGAUAGACACAUUUCUUCUAAGUUUGAGUAGUGAGUGAUAACACUUCUAUGUAAUCCCUAAAAAAAAACACUUCUAUGUAAAAAAAUCACAUGGGAAAUCCAUUCCUAUAGUACACGUAAUUUUGAUCUGGAAGGUUGACUUUUCAACAAAAUAACCUAAAAUAAUUUGUUCAUAACAUAAUAGAGGAAUCUAGAAGUGUUCGCGGUGCGGUUUGAUUCGGUUUUGAGCAAAAAAGUCAUCCAAACCGCGCGAUAAAAAAACAUGUGGUUUGGUUCGGUUGAUUUUUAAAAAAUCAUCCAAACCAAACCAAACUAAACCAAUACGGUUUGGAUUGGUUCGGUUUGUGCGGUUUAUCGCGAGAUAAAAAAAAAAUAUUACAUUAACUCUAAUAUUUCCAAAUUGUUACAAAAUAAACAUAGAACGUUUUUUUAUUUAUUUUUAUAUGAUAAAAUAUUAGGUAAAACUCAUAUCAAAAUAGGUAAAAUUAAGAAGAAUUUAUAAGCAUGAAACAAAUUAUUGGAAAGUAAAGGAAACAAAUUUAAGUAAUAUUCAUUAUUCUUGCAGCUAUGUAAUUGGGCUAGAAACAUUUUAUUUUGAUGUUUAUAUCGAACAUGAUGGUGCAACAAUGGAAAAAUCAAAUCAAAAAAGAUUAUUCUUGAGCUAUGUAAUUGAGCUAGUACAUAUUUAAGUAAUAUUCAUUAUUCUUGCGGUUUGGUUUGGUUUGAUUCGGUUGCUGAGAUGCAAACCGCAAAUCAAACCAAACUGUAUGUUUUAGUGCAAAAGUCAUCUGAAUUCAUCCGAAAUCAAGUACGAUUUUUUACGAUUUUGAAUUGGUUUAAUUUGCCGUUUUUCUAUUGGAUUGGUUCGGUUUGAACGAUCUGCAUGAAUUCUUCUAGUUGAUUGUUGGACUAUUUUUAAUUGGCAAAGGCUUAGUUGUCCAUUUAUAAAUAUAAAUACUAUUAUUACAUUAUCCAAUCCAAUAGCACCAAAACCAAUAUAAUAAUGGUAAUUUGCAAUUUUGCACGUUUCAUUCAUUUAUUGGUGCCUUAAUUUUGGGUUACAGACCGACAUUGAUCAGUUGCUAAAAAACCACUGCAUCCUUAUUUUUUACGAGGUAGAUGCAUCGGACAAAUAAACCGACAAACAAAGCUAUUCAGAAAGUGCUCAGAAAUUUUUUGUGCCCCAACAGAAAAUAUUAAGAAAGUCUUGCUACACAGUGUCUUGUAUACAAGUGAAAUAUGUGUGGUAUUAUGCACAAGUUUAUUUUUACAAGUUGAUAUAAGAAUCUAAGUAUAUUUUUAUGGAAAAUUAAUGCUAACAAAUACUUUCAAAGCAUUGUUUAAGCAAUCAAUAUUAGUAACUUUUGCAUAGAAAUAUGUGUGAUUAUUAUUUUUUCAUAUGUUUUAUAUGUUUUCAAGAAAAUAUUUUUAUUUAUGGUUUUUUUAAAUAGUGUCCUUAGGUACUUGUUAGCAAAAUCUUAUUUAUAUAAGUUGAUCUAAGAAUCUCAUUAUUGUAUCGAGUGAGAUACGGCCAUACCGAAGCUUAUGGAUUCCAUAGUGGAAAAAUAACUUUUCAUCAGUGCAAUACUAUUUUAGUUGUAGAAUUUCUUUUCUUGUGUGUCCUAUUUCAGAUUUUAAAAUCCAAACAAUCGAAGGUUUAUGAAGGUUUUUCGAACAUUUUCGCACUGUUUGAAUUAUAUGAUCUGAAAUGUCAUAGAACAUGCGAGAAGCAAGUUGAAUGAAAUAAAAAACUCCUGCUCAAUAGAAUUAUUUUACUUGGUUAUUGUUUGAAUUUUAUUCUCCUUCAAAGACGGCAAUGUGCAAUUGUGCAUUUCAUCCGGAGAGUGGCAACAUCUCAUGCAUGUUCAUCUCAUAUAACUGAGAAGUCACAUGGCUUGGAAAAUCUUAAACCGAGAAAAACAAAAGGAGUAAAAGUAAUAAUAGUGAACCAAAGUGAAGAUGAACUUGUAGUCUAUCAAAAGAAGAUGAACUUGUUCGUCUUGGCAUAGUAACUCAUUUUUAUUCCUUGUUACCUAUGAAACACGGACAAUAGAUACAACACGGACACCAAUACGUUAAUACCGUUAAUAAUAUAAAAAAAUAGGUACAUUGAAUAAUUAAUGUAUUUGACCUAUAAAUGUGACCAGAUAUAUUAAUUAUUCAAUGUAUCUAAAAAGUUGGUUUUUGUUUAUAAAUAUGAUCAUAUGGAGUACUACUUUAGUGUAAUUUUAUGUAUUGGUACUGCGAGACAUCUAAUCUAAAGAGUGUCAAUGUUUUCACACAUAUUACUCACCAAAGUGCACACAUUAUAUGCAUUUAGGUAAACUGAGUUCAUCCAAAAUUGUAACCGCACAAACAGAGGGCCGCUAGGAAAUAUGAGGUAAAUUUGGAUUAUUCUUUAUCAAAAGCUUAUGACCAAAGAAAAACUAUACAAAAACUAAUGUUCAAAAAGUACAUAAAGUAAUAAUGCAAAGUCAAUGUGUAUAUAUAUUUCACCAUUAAAUAAAAGGGGAAAAAAAUCUCCAUACACAGCUUGCAAUAGCUACCAUCAUGGCCUAAAGCAAAUAUCAUAUGACCACUAAAAAACAAUAGAAAAUAAACAAAUAAAAAGAGAAAAACAAAAGAGAAAAUGGUAUAAAGAAAUCAUGUAGUAGUUAGUUUUUUCUCAAGAUGGGCAACUCAGCAGGGCUGCUAGGAGGAAAUUACAAAAGAACAUGACACUUAACUUCUCUAAUCAUUCAAAAUUUGUCAAGAUGCUGAUUAUAUAUUUUAAUUAGUAGUUAGAGAUUGUUAUAGUAACGUGUUCUAGCCAUCAAGAAUAAAACAAUGUCAUGGAAAAGAAGUGGCCUACUAGAAGAAUUAAUUUAAAGCAUUUACACCAAAAUAAAAACAAAUUGAAUAUUGGAAUUGGUCCUUCAUGAUAGCUUCCCCUUAACAACUAACUCUAACUAUAAAUACUGAAUCUUGCAUGCAACAUUUCAUAGUAAACACUAAGACCAAAACCUCUUCUUUCUAUCCAUGACUGCUAGGGCUAGUUGCCCCAAAAUGGGGCAUUUUUGGCCACAAAUGGCAAUGGCAUUGGCCAUUGUUUUGAUUUCUACUACUAUGGUUUCUGCUUCUGAUAGCUACAUUUACUCUUCGCCUCCACCACCUUAUGAGUACAAGUCCCCACCACCGCCGUCUCCCUCACCACCUCCUCCUUAUGUGUAUAAGUCACCACCUCCCCCAUCCUCGUCACCCCCACCACCAUAUGAGCACAAGGCUCCAUCUUAUGAGUACAAGUCACCACCACCACCAACUUCUUCACCACCACCUCCUUAUGUAUACAAGUCACCACCACCACCAUCUCCUUCACCGUCACCUCCUUAUGUGUACAAGUCACCACCACCUCCAUCCCCAUCACCCCCACCUCCUUACGUGUACAAGUCACCACCACCACCCUCGCCUUCCCCGCCCCCACCAUACUAUUACAAGUCUCCUCCACCACCCUCGCCUUCCCCACCGCCACCAUACUAUUACAAGAGUCCUCCACCACCCUCUCCUUCACCUCCACCUCCUUACUACUAUAAAUCGCCUCCACCACCCUCACCUUCCCCUCCCCCACCAUACUAUUACAAGUCUCCUCCACCACCAUCUCCCUCACCACCUCCUCCAUAUUACUACAAGUCUCCCACACCACCUUCACCCUCCUCUCCACCCCCAUAUAUACACAAGGAUCCACCAUACUAUUACAAGUCCCCACCACCCCCUUCACCAUCUCCUCCACCACCAUACUACUAUAAAUCUCCCCCACCACCCUCACCCUCUCCACCCCCACCUUACUAUUACAAGUCUCCUCCACCACCUUCACCAUCUCCUCCACCACCAUACUAUUACAAAUCUCCUCCUCCUCCAUCUCCUAUUCCCCAUACACCUUACUAUUACAAAUCUCCCCCACCACCUUCACCAUCUCCUCCACCACCAUACUAUUACAAAUCUCCUCCUCCUCCAUCUCCUAUUCCCCGUACACCUUACUAUUACAAAUCUCCCCCACCACCUUCACCAUCUCCUCCACCACCAUACUACUACAAAUCCCCUCCUCAUCCAU
rnacentral:lncRNA from 1 species